CCACCACCCAACCCAAGGGCUUGGCAUCUGUGAGCCCACAUCCUGCAGCAGGGGCCCCCUCUGGCUCUCCGGCCAGCUAGGGGACACCUGGGCCCUCCUCUGCAUACCCCCCUUCCACGUCGCCUCCGAACUUGGAUGGCCAGGAUGGGGUCCCGCGGCUCUCUGCUCCUCGUGGGAGCAGGGAUCUCGCUACUGGGCUAGCGUGGGAUACAAGAGGCCCUGGGGAGAAUGCCUGGAGGAGCCAGCGGCUGCGGGUGCGCAAAGGGCCCGCUCUAGCUCAGCCGUCGCCGCUCCGCAGUAUGACCAGUGGACCAUCUCCAAGGCCUGUGGGAAAAACUUGCCUUUGCGACUGGCGCACUGCCGCAGCACCAUGGAGGUAACCAGGCAGGAGGGGCCUCGAGACCCAACCCUCCCCACCCCUGCCAGCACCCCCCCACUAGAUGUUGCGGAGCCGACGAGGGACGGAGCAGGUGCCCAGCCCCAGGUUCCCUGUGGGGUUGCCACAAGCCUCCACCCGCCCGCCUGCUGGCGGGCUCCAUGGCGGCCCCCUACGCAACCACGAGUGGGCGGUGCCCUUCCCGACCCAGGUGGUGCAGGAGAAGCUGCGCAAGUGCGUCUUCGACCGCGUGAACAUGCACAACCUACUGAUCCACCUGGUGCGGCGGCGCGGGCAGAAGCUGGAGAGCAUGCAGCUGGAGCUGGCCAGCCUGCGGAGCCAGCCCGACGCCAGCAAGGAGGAGCUGCGGCUGCUGCAGAUCAUCCGCCAGCUGGAGAACAACAUCGAGAAGACAAUGAUCAAGAUCGUCACCAGCCAGAACAUCCACCUGCUGUAUUUGGACCUGCUGGAUUAUCUGAAGACAGUGCUGGCAGGAUACCCCAUUGAGCUGGACAAGCUGCAGAACCUCGUGGUCAACUACUGCUCAGAGCUAUCGGAUAUGAAGAUCAUGUCCCAAGAUGCCAUGAUGAUCACGGAUGGGGUCAGGAACAUGAGGCAAAGGGAGGCGUCCUUCAUCGAGGAGCGCCGGGCAAGGGAGAACCGGCUCAACCAGCAGAAGAAGCUGAUCGACAAGAUCCACUCGAAGGAGACCAGCGAGAAGUACCGCCGGGGCCAGAUGGACUUGGACUUCCCCUCGAACCUGAUGAGCACAGAGACCCUGAAAUUGAGGAGAAAAGAGACCUCCACAGGAGAAAUGGAAUACCAGGCGGGCGUGACUGCUGUGGUGGAGAAGGUCAAGAGUGCUGUACAGUGCUCUCACGUCUGGGACAUUGCUAGCCGCUUCCUGGCCCAGAGGAACACGGAGGAGAACCUGGAGCUGCAGAUGGAGGACUGUGAGGAGCGGCGGGUGCAGCUGAAGGCCCUGGUGAAGCAGCUGGAGCUGGAGGAGGCCGUGCUCAAGUUCCGCCAGAAGCCUAGCUCCAUCAGGUGCCCCGGGCUUCCGGGGCUGCGGGCCACCCACCCCAGUCUCACGAAGGCCCCGGGCUGCAGCCAGGCUGGGAGCUGGGAGUGUACCCACUGCCAACAAGCCUGUGUGUCCCACAGAGGGGCCAGGGGGCUCCACUUGCACACACCUGAGCUUCCGAGUCCCUGAUUCUGGCACAGCACCCAACUCAGGACUGGGCUCCUGGGUGGCCCACCAUGGCUCUCGGGGCUGUGCCCCUCACUGCUGUGUCCCUAUUGCCUUCUGCAGCUUCAAGUCCGUUGAGAAGAAGAUGACAGACAUGCUAAAAGAGGAAGAAGAGAGGCUCCAGCUGGCGCACAGCAACAUGACCAAGGGCCAGGAGCUGCUGCUGACCAUCCAGAUGGGCAUCGACAACCUCUAUGUCCGGCUGAUGGGCAUCACCUUGCCUGCGACCCAGGUACCAGGAGUGAGGCUGAGCUGCCACACACCAGGUCCCUGGGCAGGGCCAGAGGGGAGAUGAGACCCUCCUCCCGGCCUACAGAGAGAAGUGGUGCUCUCCGACACCCUCGAUUUGAACAGCAAGCUGGCGUACUGCGAGGGGAAGCUCACGUACCUGGCUGACAGAGUGCAGAUGGUGUCCAGGACCGAGGAGGGCGACACAAAGGUGAGGGACACCCUGGAGUCCUCGACUCUGAUGGAGAAGUACAACACUAGGAUCAGCUUUGAGGACCGGGAGGAGGAUAUGAUCGACACCUUCCAGUUCGCCGACAUGGACCACAGCUACGUCCCUUCGCGCGCCGAGAUCAAGAGGCAGGCGCAGCGGCUAAUCGAGGGGAAGCUCAAGGCGGCCAAGAAAAAGAAGAAGUAGCCCCGCCGCCCCGCUCCCUGCUUUGCUACACAAAUAAACAUUUUUCCAGG
rnacentral:sRNA from 1 species